GACGAACGCUGGCGGCGUGCUUAACACAUGCAAGUCGAGCGGUAAGGCCUUUCGGGGUACACGAGCGGCGAACGGGUGAGUAACACGUGGGUGACCUGCCUUUAGCUUCGGGAUAAGCCUGGGAAACUGGGUCUAAUACCGGAUAUGACCUCAUGUCGCAUGGUGUGGGGUGGAAAGUUUUUCGGCUAGAGAUGGGCCCGCGGCCUAUCAGCUUGUUGGUGGGGUGAUGGCCUACCAAGGCGACGACGGGUAGCCGGCCUGAGAGGGCGACCGGCCACACUGGACUGAGAUACGGCCCAGACUCCUACGGGAGGCAGCAGUGGGGAAUAUUGCGCAAUGGGCGGAAGCCUGACGCAGCGACGCCGCGUGGGGGAUGACGGCC
rnacentral:rRNA from 1 species